rnacentral:tRNA from 1 species
GCGCCGGUGGUGUAAGGCGAACAUAUCGCUACCCAGAAAGCAGAAGAUGCGGGUUUGAGUCCCGCCUGGCGCA